AAAACCGUUUCUGGUGAUGUGCGCGUCAAUCAUAACGACAUAAAAACAUGAUGAACGUCAGCAUCGGCUGUGAUAUAACAGCUACGAUAUCGUAUAUCGUACAGACUCCAGAACUAUCGUAUAAAUACGGUCACAGCACAGUACAGGCCUGCACAUUGACUUUAAGCCGCCAGCUGAGACCUGGACCGAUGCUGACUGCUUUGCUUCACUCACAGUUCACCCGGGCGCCGAGAGCACCAGCCGGUUGAGAAAGAGGAAGAGACUCUGACAGCGGAGCGAGAAAACAAACACAAGACCCUGAUCCCCACACGACUGUUUGAUCUGCGCAGACCCCAAAGUGGGAUUUUCUCGUGGGAACGGAUUCAUCGGCACAGAGUUUGAUGGUGAUGGUGUUGGUUUAACCAGGCAGUGCAGGUUGUCUGGACAAACUAAAAGUCAAUGACAGCAGCGUUCCACAAGCAGCACUGAACUAGAGUUUGUCAGCGCGAGGCUCCUGCAGCGUGAGCACGGGGGGGGCUCAUUCACACGGCCGGGGCUGGGGAGGGUUGACCCUUCAGACGCCUCACUCAGCGGAAGCCACUCCAGCUUUGCUUGUCAAGGUCCCAACUCCUCCACUUGUGUUUACAGGAACGUGAGUAAGGCUGGAGGACAAACAGUGAGACGGUGUGACUCCUCCACAGCAGGUGGACCACAAUCAGAGGCGGCGGCCGACGCAGCCAUGGGAACAUGUUCUACGCUCGUUGCCCCGUCACUGCCGUUUUGUUUUCACAUGGCCUUCAACCUCGGCGUGUGGACCACAAACAGAUGUGAAGGCGUUUCUCACAGCGUUUCCUUUGAGUCACGAGUCAGAGACUCUGCUAAGCAACGAGCGCUAACGUCGCCUUUCUACCAGCAGGUGGCAGCUUGUUCACACCUGCUCAGGUGUCUGUAGCAGUGUUUGCUUUGCAGAGAGCAGCAGGACGGGUCCAUGUGUGCCACCAUGCGCCCGCUGGGGUCAGCGUUGGUCUGUGUCUGUGUGAUGGCCAGGCUGCCGGUGGUUCUCACAGCCCCAUGGAGUGACCCUGAACAGCAGGGAACAGCAUCAU